CCUACGGGUGGCAGCAGUGAGGAAUAUUGGUCAAUGGCCGGAAGGCUGAACCAGCCAUGCCGCGUGAAGGUCAGUGCCCUUUGGGCGUUAAACUUCUUUUGUGCGGGAGCAAUAAUGGUCACGUGUGGCCAGACGAGAGUACCGUACGAAUAAGCAUCGGCUAACUCCGUGCCAGCAGCCGCGGUAAUACGGGGGAUGCAAGCGUUAUCCGGAUUUAUUGGGUUUAAAGGGUGCGUAGGCUGUGAGGUAAGUCAGCGGUGAAAUGGCCCCGCUCAACGGGGUGAAGUGCCUUUGAUACUGCCUGGCUGGAGUGCGGAUGCGGUGAGAGGAAUGUGUGGUGUAGCGGUGAAAUGCAUAGAUAUCACACAGAACACCGAUUGCGAAGGCAUCUCACGAAUCCGCGAUUGACGCUGAGGCACGAAAGCGUGGGUAUCAAACAGGAUUAGAUACCCGAGUAGUC
rnacentral:rRNA from 1 species